CAACCCACGGGGUGUUCAUUAGCUCAAAACACGAAAUAGUGUUACUGUUAUGUCAUUGUAGCCCAGUGUCUAUAGCGUUUCAUCCCUGGAGAUUAGGCUGAGUGUGUUAGUGUGUUGCGUUAACUUUUACACGGCUGCUAUUUGCCAAAUGCGGCUUGCUAACGCUAACUGUAACGUUGAGCUAGCAGACUCAGGUUGAAGUUACCUAGCCAGCUAAAUGUCAACUAGCUAUCUCCGGCACAUUUGGAUUGUGGCACUUUCACUUACCAAAAUCAGUUUGAACUCAUGUAUUUGCCCAUGUGUUGCGAAGACAGUCAUUAACAGAGAGUUGUCGCAGUGGUUAAAGUGCAUGGUAAAUGUCAGAAGUGUAAUUACUGAGAGUUACGUCCAAAGUGGCGCUGGAAUUUUUCCAGAGGAUUUCACUGGCCUGUGCAGAUGACCCAAUGUCCCCCUCACGUCCUCACGGCGAACCGGCCGGUCACUCCUAAAGCCGUAAAUGCAGAAUCAAAUAGAAAGCACCCACCACCAACCUACAGAUAAAGUAUCCCGCAACACUACGCUUGAGAAGUUGUAUGCCCUUGGCUUGAAGCACCUGCUGCUGAUUGCAUAUCCUCCUUAGAGGCUGCCAUGCAAAACCAAAGUAAUGAUGCCAUUGCAUUCCAACCUUAGCACAUCCGUUAAGACGUGCCUUGAAAAUGUGGUCACAAUCUACAAACUGAUGGUUCAAGGUUGGACAAGACUCAGCCUAGACCAACUUGAGGACCCCAGCACACCAGCACCACCCCAAGACACAUCCAUUCAACUGCCUCAAAAAGAUGAGGGCUUUAUCUUACAUUUGGUGCCGUGUGACCCAUCACCCAUAACCAACCACUACAGCAGGAAACAGUCAACCUACCGCCACCAAACCACGCUCCAUCCCUCCAAGAACCAGCACAACAGGUCCCAGUAGGGGUGGGAAUCUCUUGCCACCUCACGAUUCGAUUCAGUUUGAUUCGAUUCAGUUCCCAUUUCAGAGGGCUACGAUGCGAUUAUAAAAUACAUACAGUUUUAAUUCCAUGUGAAAGCACAAAAUUCAGAUAACAUAGAGAUGCACAAGGUCUUUGUCUACCUGCCACAGGGGCGGACAGUACACCUUUAUGACUGCCCUGCACCAUAUGGUAUGUCAAAUAGCUUUUGGUUAUGUACAAUUACAUCUAUUUUUUUAUCGGCCUGCGUCUUUCUUUGCCUGUUUUGCGUACUGUUGGAAUGGACUUGUCUGUGUAUUGUCUGGAGUGGAGUUUGUUAAAGAAAAAUGUUAAUACAAAAAGUUCAGUGCUGUUUAAAACUGUCAGGAUUCAGAUAUGCUAUAACUGUGAAUGCACAGCCAUAUGAAACCACAAAGUGAAAAACACUGUUUAAAUUCAAUUAUGCAAAGGCCAACAAGUAGAAAAGUUAUGAGGAUUACAUUAUUUACACAACAUUUUUCCAAUAAUUAAGCAUAUAGCUGGUCUUCAUUUCAAAAAUUUUCCAGGCCACCAUACAUGGGCUGUUGUCUUUGUGUUUGGGUCAGGCCAUGCACAAUUACCCAUCUCAUCUGCAGAUGGCACCUGAAUCCCCAAAGGGGAUCUAUAAAGGGCUUAUCUAUCAAAUGCCAUUAUUACCCUUUGGAUGGAUAAAUGAGUGUUUUUAAUUAGAGGUUUUAUUGCAAUUUUCCACAACAUUUUGGCAUUUUAAACUGCUACACUGGGCCCAUUUUUAUUCCACCUACACUCUACAUUUUUUUUUUAACAGGAUUGUCCAUUUUUUUCUUAUUUUUCCACGAGCAACAAUUACUGUGAAGAACAUUACAUACCAUGAUGUCAGUGUUCUUGAGAGUGAGAACAGAAACACUCGGUGUAGUUGAGGCCUUGCAGUAACCAAACUGUGAUGUUUUAAAUCGUGAUUAACAGUUGGUUAAUUGCCGCAUCCCUACUCUGGAACAUCUAAUACUUAAUACAGCAGCCUCACUGCACCACUUUUCAAACUAUUCCAAAACAGGGUAUACAUAUUACGAUAAUGACAAUAAACUCAAUGUGCAUAACUACUCACUAAUUCUUCUUAACCCUCUCUCCCUUCAUUUAUUUAUUUAUUUGUUUCUCAGUGAAGGACCUGGCCUCCAUCCUGGCAGCCAGCCUGAAAACAUGCAACGUACAUUUCAAACGCAUAUUUUUUUCUAUUUUUCAGUUAAUAAUUAAAACAUGCUUAACAAUGAAAUUUUUUGGUUUUUACUUUUAUUGCUCCGUAACAUUGUCAAGUUGUGUCAAAAACAAUUGAGGUCCAUUAAAAAUGAAUACCUAAGAAAUUUACUGCAACUAAUGUCAUUUUAACAACAUUAUCAUUCUGUUUUAUGGUUUUCCUUUAACAUGUUGCAGCUGCUCUAAUCUGUGUGGACUUAAUAAAGUGCAACAGUAU